UAGGGUUUGAUUCUGGCUCAGGAUGAACGCUAGCGGCAGGCCUAAUACAUGCAAGUCGAGGGGCAGCACUUACUUCGGUAAGUGGCGACCGGCGCACGGGUGAGUAACACGUAUGCAACCUACCUUUAACUGGGGCAUAGCUCGAGGAAACUCGAAUUAAUUCCCCAUAAUAUAAUACAUUAUCUCAUGAUAUAAUUAUUAAAGAUUUAUCGGUUAAAGAUGGGCAUGCGUCUGAUUAGUUUAUUGGUGAGGUAACGGCUCACCAAGACUUCGAUCAGUAGGGGGUCUGAGAGGAUGAUCCCCCACACUGGUACUGAGACACGGACCAGACUUCUACGGAAGGCAGCAGUAAGGAAUAUUGGGCAAUGGGCGAAAGCCUGACCCAGCCAUGCCGCGUGCAGGAUGACGAUCUUACGGAUUGUAAACUGCUUUUAUAUAGGAAGAAAAUACUCUUGCGAGAGUAACUGACGGUACUAUAAGAAUAAGGACCGGCUAACUCCGUGCCAGCAGCCGCGGUAAUACA
rnacentral:rRNA from 1 species